rnacentral:rRNA from 1 species
GAUGAACGCUGGCGGCGUGCCUAAUACAUGCAAGUCGAACGCAUAGCGAAAGGUGCUUGCCCCUUUCAAGUGAGUGGCGAACGGGUGAGUAACACGUGGACAACCUGCCUCAAGGCUGGGGAUAACAUUUGGAAACAGAUGCUAAUACCGAAUAAAACUUAGUGUCGCAUGACACAAAGUUAAAAGGCGCUUCGGCGUCACCUAGAGAUGGAUCCGCGGUGCAUUAGUUAGUUGGUGGGGUAAAGGCCUACCAAGACAAUGAUGCAUAGCCGAGUUGAGAGACUGAUCGGCCACAUUGGGACUGAGACACGGCCCAAACUCCUACGGGAGGCUGCAGUAGGGAAUCUUCCACAAUGGGCGAAAGCCUGAUGGAGCAACGCCGCGUGUGUGAUGAAGGCUUUCGGGUCGUAAAGCACUGUUGUAUGGGAAGAACAGCUAGAAUAGGAAAUGAUAUUAGUUUGACGGUACCAUACCAGAAAGGGACGGCUAAAUACGUG